GGGUCUUGGGAUACUUGGAAUUAAGCGUCCUUGGGUUUGAAUAGUAUUAGGCUGGGUGACCUCCUGGGAAGUCCAAACUCAGGAGUUU
rnacentral:rRNA from 1 species